UACGUAGGUGGCAAGCGUUGUCCGGAAUUAUUGGGCGUAAAGCGCGCGCAGGCGGUCCUUUAAGUCUGAUGUGAAAGCCCACGGCUCAACCGUGGAGGGUCAUUGGAAACUGGGGAACUUGAGUGCAGGAGAGAAGAGUGGAAUUCCACGUGUAGCGGUGAAAUGCGUAGAGAUGUGGAGGAACACCAGUGGCGAAGGCGACUCUUGGCCUGUAACUGACACUGAGGCGCGAAAGCGUGGGGAGCAAACAGGG
rnacentral:rRNA from 1 species